rnacentral:rRNA from 1 species
CAGCAGCCGCGGGAAUACGAAGGGGGCUAGCGUUGUUCGGAUUUACUGGGCGUAAAGGGUGCGUAGGCGGACUGAUAAGUCAGGGGUGAAAUCCCAAGGCUCAACCUUGGAACUGCCUUUGAUACUGUUAGUCUUGAGUUCGAGAGAGGUGAGUGGAACUGCGAGUGUAGAGGUGAAAUUCGUAGAUAUUCGCAAGAACACCAGUGGCGAAGGCGGCUCACUGGCUCGAAACUGACGCUGAGGCACGAAAGCGUGGGGAGCAAACAGGAUUAGAUACCCGUGUAGUCCCUGUCUCUUAUAC